rnacentral:lncRNA from 1 species
CGAGAUCUGAUGGUUCUGAAAAGAGGAGUUCUCCUGCACAAGCUCUCUCUCUCUUUGCCUGCCGCCAUCCAUGUAAGAUGUGACUUGCUCCUCCUUGGCUUCUGCCAUGAUUGUGAGGCCUCUGCAGCCACAUGGGACUAUGGUGUUAGAAGUGGGGUCUGAAGUAGAGCCUCUAUAAGAACCCCAGGAGUGCUGAGUGAACAAGCAAGGUAUCUGCUGGAGCUACUUGUGUCCUUUGAUCUCUCAGCAGCUGGAGAUCAUGGUUUUCAAAAGUACUGCUUCCCUUCUCAUCCAUCUCUUCUGGAAUUGGCAAAUGCCCUCAGGGGUCAAGCAACCACCAAUAACGGGUUUACUUUUCUGGGAGCUGAACUUCUGAUGUGUGGAUGGGAGGGGAGAUGGCAUAUGGCCUGGUGAAAUAGGAAUUCUUCAUUGUUUUUUCUAGCAUUCAUUUGGUUACUUCCAGUGUUUUAAAAUAAAAUAUUUGUCACAAACAAAUGAAAAAACAUUCCAUGCUCAUGGAUGGGAAGAAUCAAUAUCGUGAAAAUGGCCAUACUGCCCAAAGUAAUUUAUAGAUUCAAUGCUAUUCCCAUCAAGCUACCACUGACUUUCUUCACAGAAUUAGAAAAAACUACUUUAAAUUUCAUAUGGAAUCAAAAAAGAGCCUGUAUAACCAGGGCAAUCCUAAGCAAAAAGAACAAAGUUGGAGGCAUCACGCUACCUGACUUCAAACUAUACUACAAGGUUACAGUAACCAAAACAACAUGUUACUAGUACCAAAACAGACAUAUAGACCAAUGGAACAGAACAGAGUCCUCAGAAAUAACACCAUGCAUCUAUAGCCAUCUGAUCUUUGACAAAACUGACAAAAACAAGCAAUGGGGAAAGGAUUCCCUAUUUAAUAAAUGAUGUCGGGAAAACUGGCUAGCCAUAUGCAGAAAGCUGAAACUGGACCCCUUCUUUACACCUUAUACAAAAAUUGACUCAACAUGGAUUAAAGACUUAAACAUAAGACCUAAAACCAUGAAAACCCUGGAAGAAAGCCUAGGCAAUACCAUUCAGGAUACAGGCAUGGGCAAAGACUUCAUGACUAAAACACCAAAAGCAAUUGCAACAAAAGCCAAAACUGACAAAUGGGAUCUAAUUAAAUGAAAGAGCUUCUGCACAGCAAAAGAAACUAUCAUCAGAGUGAACAGGCAACCUACAGAAUGGGAGAAAAUUUUUGUAAUUUAUCCAUCUGACAAAGGUCUAAUAUCCAGAAUCUACAGAGAACUUAAACAAAUGUACAAGAAAAAACAAACAACCCCAUCAAAAAGUGGGGCAAAGGAUAAGAACAGACACUUAUCAGAAGAAGACAUUUAUGCAGCCAACAAACAUAUGAAAUAAAGCUCAUCAUCACUGCUCAUUAGAGAAAUGCAAAUCAAAAUUGCAAUGAGAUACCGUCUCACGCCAGUUAGAAUGGCUAUCAUUAAAAAGCCAGGAAACAACAGAUGCUGGAGAGGAUGUUGAGAAAUAGAAGUGCUUUUACACUGUUGAUGGGAGUGUAAAUUAGUUCAACCAUUGUGGAAGACAGUGUGGCGAUUCCUCAAGGAUCUAGAACCAGAAAUACCAUUUGACCCAGCAAUCCCAUUACUGGGUAUAUACCCAAAGGGUUAUAAAUCAUUCUACUAUAAAGACAUACACACACAUAAGUUUAUUGCAGCACUAUUCACAAUAGCAGACUUGGAACCAAUCCAAAUGCCCAUCAGUGAUACACUGGAUAAAGAAAAUGUGGCACAUAUACACCAUGGAAUACUAUGCAGCCAUAAAAAUGAUGAGUUCAUGUCCUUUGCAGGGACAUGGAUGAAGCUGGAAACCAUCAUUCUCAGCAAACUAACACAGGAACAGAAAACCAAACACUGCAUGUUCUCACUCAUAAGUAGGAGUUGAACAAUGAGAACACAUGGACGCAGGGAGGGGAACGUCACA